rnacentral:rRNA from 1 species
CAGUCGCCGCGGUAAUACAGAGGGUGCAAGCGUUAAUCGGAAUUACUGGGCGUAAAGCGCGCGUAGGUGGUUCGUUAAGUUGAAUGUGAAAUCCCCGGGCUCAACCUGGGAACUGCAUCCAAAACUGGCAAGCUAGAGUAGGGCAGAGGGUGGUGGAAUUUCCUGUGUAGCGGUGAAAUGCGUAGAUAUAGGAAGGAACACCAGUGGCGAAGGCGACCACCUGGGCUCAUACUGACACUGAGGUGCGAAAGCGUGGGGAGCAAACAGGAUUAGAGACCCGUGUAGUCCCUGUCUCUUAUAC